UGCAAGUCGUGCGGANCUUUUAAAAGCUUGCUUUUAACAAGGCUAGCGGCGGACGGGUGAGUAACACGUGGGCAACCUGCCUGUAAGACCGGGAUAACGCCGGGAAACCGGGGCUAAUACCGGAUAGUUUUUUCCUCCGCAUGGAGGAAAAAGGAAAGGCGGCUUCGGCUGCCACUUACAGAUGGGCCCGCGGCGCAUUAGCUAGUUGGUGGGGUAACGGCCCACCAAGGCAACGAUGCGUAGCCGACCUGAGAGGGUGAUCGGCCACAUUGGGACUGAGACACGGCCCAAACUCCUACGGGAGGCAGCAGUAGGGAAUCUUCCGCAAUGGACGAAAGUCUGACGGAGCAACGCCGCGUGAGUGAAGAAGGCCUUCGGGUCGUAAAACUCUGUUGCCGGGGAAGAACAAGUGCCGUUCGAACAGGGCGGCGCCUUGACGGUACCCGGCCAGAAAGCCACGGCUAACUAC
rnacentral:rRNA from 1 species